GUGCUCGCUUUGGCAACACAUAUACUAAAAUUGGAAUGACAUAGAGAAGAUUAGCAUGGCCCCUGCAAUUUAAAAAAAAGAAAUACUGAAACAAGUCUAU
rnacentral:snRNA from 1 species